rnacentral:rRNA from 1 species
CUACGGGGUGCUGCAGUGGGGAAUAUUGGACAAUGGGGGAAACCCUGAUCCAGUAAUGCCGCGUGUGUGAAGAAGGCCUGCGGGUUGUAAAGCACUUUCGGUUGGGAGGACUGCUUCUAGCACUAAUAUUGUUGGAAGUUGACGUUACCUUCAGAAGAAGCACCGGCUAACUCCGUGCCAGCAGCCGCGGUAAUACGGAGGGUGCAGCGUUAAUCAGAAUUACUGGGCGUAAAGCGCGCGUAGGCGGCUAGAUCAGUCGGGUGUGAAAGCCCCGGGCUUAACCUGGGAACUGCAUCCGAUACUGUCUAGCUUGAGUACAGGAGAGGAGAGUGGAAUUCCACAUGUAGCGGUGAAAUGCGUAGAUAUGUGGAGGAACACCAAUGGCGAAGGCAGCUCUCUGGCCUGAUACUGACGCUGAGGUGCGAAAGCGUGGGGAGCAAACAGGAUUAGAUACCCCUGAGUC